AUUGAACGCUGGCGGCAGGCCUAACACAUGCAAGUCGAGCGAGCGGCGGUCGGGUGAGUAAUGCCUGGGAAUCGCCCAGACGCGGGGUUAAACAUUUGGAUACGACCGCUAAUACCGCAUACAAUUCUAUUGCCCAGGUGGGUUUAGCUAGUUGGUAAGGGAAUGUCUCACCAAGGCGACGCUCCCUAGCUGCUCUGAGUGGAUGGUCAGCCACACUGGAACUGAGACACGGUCCAGACUCCUACGGGAGGCAGCAGUGGAGAAUAUUGCACAAUGGGGGAAAGCCUGAUGCAGCCAUGCCGCGUGUGUGAAGAAGGCAUUCGGGUUGUAAAGCACAUUCAGCGAGGAGGCGUUACUAGCAGAAGAAGCACCGGCUAACUCCGUGCCAGCAGCCGCGGUAAUUC
rnacentral:rRNA from 1 species